ensembl:lncRNA
GUUAGGGCUAGAUGAAGGUGGUAGGGUACAGGGUUAGGGCUAGAUGAAGGUGGUAGGGUACAGGGUUAGGGCUAGAUGAAGGUGAUAGGGUACAGGGUUAGGGCUAGAUGAAGGUGGUAGGGUACAGGGUUAGGGCUAGAUGAAGGUGGUAGGGUACAGGGCUAGAUGAAGAUGGUAGGGUACAGGGUUAGGGCUGUGGGGGAUAUGAUGAGUUAAAAGCCUCUACACCCAAGAAUCCAUGACAGAUUAGCUCAUGUACUUAACGUUGAUCAAUAAAGUUGAUAGUGUUGAAAUGAACCUUGUAAUGGAUGGGCGUGAGCUGGCACUAACAGAUAUCUGUGUGCUACAAUGACACGAUUCAGGGACACUAGGAAAUGCUUAUUGUAAAAACCAAUCAAUGAAAACUGAAACCUUUUCAUAUGGAUAGCUGUUCCCUAGCCCAAAUCAUGAUGUCACUGCACUAAGUUUGGACUUUGCACUUGAAGCUUUAUCUUUUAUCUUUGAGUUGUACUUGAAGUUCUGUUGAGUCAAGACUCACCCACUGACAUGUCUGUCUGUCUGUCUGCCUGUCCGUCUGCCUGUCUGCCUGUCCGUCUGUAUUUCUAGAAAGCCUGGAGGAGAUUUUUCUUUAAUGAAUGAGGGAAGGGACCGUUCUCUCCAGAGGAGUUGCUUGGAUGGACAAGACGGAGACAUACAGGUGAUUGGAUGGAUUAGAGAAAGAGAGCUUCUGAUUGGAGAAAGAGAUUCUGACCUCCCGCCUUCAGUAACAAGGAUUCAUCCUGUUGUUGUAUUCUG